rnacentral:rRNA from 1 species
UGAAUACGAGAUGCUACGGCGUCGAAGCAGUGUAUGUCAGACUUCCAAGAAAAGCUCGCAAUGUCAUAAAUAAAGAAUGCCUGUACCAUAACCGACACAGGUGGGUAGGUAGAGUAUACUAAGGGGCGCGAGAUAACUCUCUCUAAGGAACUCGGCAAAAUAACUCCGUAACUUCGGGAGAAGGAGUGCCUUCUUUAAGAAGGUUGCAAUAACAAGAUCCAAGCAACUGUUUAUCAAAAACACAGGUCUCCGCUAAGUCGUAAGACGAUGUAUGGGGGCUGACGCCUGCCCAGUGCCAGAAGGUUAAAGAAGUUGGUUAGCUUUUGCGAAGCUGAUGACUGAAGCCCUGGUGAACGGCGGCCGUAACAAUAACGGUCCUAAGGUAGCGAAAUUCCUUGUCGGGUAAGUUCCGACCCGCACGAAAGGCGUAAUGAUUUGGAUACUGUCUCGGAGAGGGACUCGGUGAAAUAGACUUGUCUGUGAAGAUGCGGACUACCUGCACCAGGACAGAAAGACCCUAUGAAGCUUUACUGUAACUUGAAAUUGAAAUUGGACUUUAUUUGCGCAGUAUAGGUGGAAGGCGUUGAAAGUAAUCUUGCGGGAUUAGUGGAGCCAUCAGUGAGAUACCACUCCUAUAAUGUUAGAUUUCUAACUUUGGAUCAUGAUCUGGUCAAAGAACAGUUUCAGGCGGGCAGUUUGACUGGGGCGGUCGCCUCCCAAAUGGUAACGGAGGCGUACAAAGGUUUCCUCUGAACGGGUAGAAAUCGUAUCUAGAGUGUAAAGGCAUAAGGAAGCUUGACUGUGAGACCUACAAGUCGAGCAGGGACGAAAGUCGGUCUUAGUGAUCUGACGGUGCUGAGUGGAAAGGCCGUCACUCAACGGAUAAAAGUUACUCUAAGGAUAACAGGCUGAUCUCCCCCAAGAGUUCACAUCGACGGGGAGGUUUGGCACCUCGAUGUCGGCUCAUCGCAUCCUGGGGCGGUAGUACGUCCCAAGGGUUGGGCUGUUCGCCCAUGAAAGCGGUACGCGAGCUGGGUUCAGAACGUCGUGAGACAGUUCGGUCCAUAUCCGGUGUAGGCGUUAGAAUAUUGAGAGGAGCCUUCUUUAGUACGAGAGGACCGAGAAGGACACACCUCUGGUGUACCAGUUAUCGUGCCAACGGUAAACGCUGGGUAGCUAUGUAUGGAGAGGAUAACCGCUGAAAGCAUCUAAGUGGGAAGCCCACCUCAAGAUGAGUAUUCC